UCCAAGUAAAUCAAGUAGGAAACAAAACUCUAAUUAUGUGGAAUAUUCUGCAUCAUCUUCCUGGUUGUACUGCCAACCAGAUGGGGGGGAAAACACUCAUGUCUUUCCCUCCCUCCCUCCAACUGGCUGCUUUUACAACAUAAUCCUGUGAAUGUUGGCGCAGAAAUGCCCCACUGAGUUCAGUGGGGCUUACUCCCAGGUAAGUGGGCACAGGACUUCAGCCUCACAGAGCAAUUCUGCAAACUUCUGCUCAGAAGUCAGUCCCCUUGUGUUCAGUGGGGCCAAAUCCCAGAUUAAUGGGUAUAGGUUUACAGUCUUAAUUGCCUUUCCUUCCCCUCUCAGCUAGCAGAAAGUAAUUAAUACCUAUAAGCCAUCAAACCCAUUAUUAAGCAAACAUCUUUAUCUAGCAAACAAUACAAGAGCUUUGCAUAUUCAAAGUCCAUGUUUGCAGCAACUUAAAAUGCAAGUUACUGAGAUUUGUAAGCUUCCAAAUGCAGCAAAUAUUUAAAUAAAUUCUUUAUUCUGAAUAAACAUUAUGGCAUGUACUUUGCAGCUUAUAUUUUGUUGCCGUGCAAUGUCCCAGUGUGGUUUUUAUUGUUCAUAAAUGCUUGGGAGCGCUCAUUAAAAAUGGUGGGGGAAUAAAUUGUGAUUCAUGUUUGCUUUAAAUAAUUAGGAAAACUUUCUGGAUGUUAACUUGGCAAGGUCUAUCUAGCAGAUCUGCAAAAACAGUCUGCUUCUGGCAAGAAAAUUUGCUACUGAGUUAAUGCCGCUCCCUUUUCUCAGGAGACAGAAGACUGUUGGAUUUUUCCACAUACUCAGUUGGAUAUAGAUGGGGGUUGAAGAAGCUUAAGAAUAAGCUGUACCAUGACAACUUUUGAUUUUGCUAUUUGAAAGAGAGAGGUUCUCAAGCCUAAAUCCUUUAAUGCCCUGAUUUGGUUGGAUUUCUGAUGCAGGCAUUCCCAGAGAACAUGCAAAAGGGAGCUUCCUAUAUCCCCUGUAUGAUGUCUGAAUGCACAACUAACAUGAAAAUCAAUACAUCUGCAAAGAAAACACAGUGGAGAUCAAAUGAAGCCUUAAUUACGUAUGUGAGAGCCAGUGCUGUCUCAUUUAUUUGAUCGUUUAUUCCAUUCAUCAGUCAUCCAAUAGCAAUAGUUCUCUGGGGCUAAAUAGAUUGUGAAAAUGGAUUAAAAAUCGCAAUUCCAAUAAAACAAGAAUCAAUAAAAAGACCUAGAGCAGAUGUGGGGAAGCUGCUGGGAAAGAUCUCUGCCUUAGGACUUGGAACAUAGAAAGCCACCUUAUACCAAGUCAGACCAUUGAUCUAUCUAGCUCAUUAUUGUUGGCAGCUUGCCAGAAUUUCCAAUGGUCCUCAGUCCGUUCAACUUCCCAAACAUUCGGAAACCAAAGCGCCGCUUCUGAUUGGCUGCAGGAAACUCCUGCAGCCAAUCAGAAGCCCCGCCGGAUGUUCGGCCUCCAAAAAUAGUUCGCAAACCAGAACAGUCACUUCCAGGUUUGCAGCGUUCUGGAGCCAAAACCUACGAGAACUAAGCUGUUCAAAAAGCAAGGUACGACUGUACUUUGCUCAGAAUGAAAUUAUAUUCAGAAUGGAAGCAUGCAAGAACUGAUAUCAAUUCCUUCAUUAGCAUGAAUGGGGAUAUGCGACAGGGCAAAAUGAGGAUGGCUUGAAUAAAUAUUUGAUUCUGUAUCUCUUGCUAGCAGCCAGAAUAGCUAUUGCAAGAAAAUGGAAAUAUCUAGAGGGAUUAAAUAAGGAUUUAUGGUGUGGUGAAAACUGGUCCAUAGCUAUAAAAAUGAACUAAAACAUUAAGGUAUACUAGAGAGCAAACCAAAAAAGAUUCAUUUUCAACGAUGUAGCAAAAAAUAAUAAUUGUAUAUUCAUGAUGAUAACAGCGUUCAAAUUCCUCCUGUAAAAUAUGCUAUUUGAAAUUCUUGGCAACUACAAUGGUACCUCAGGUUACAUACGCUUCAGGUUACACACUCUGCUAACCCAGAAAUAGUACCUUGGGUUAAGAACUUUGCUUCAGGAUGAGAACAGAAAUCCUGCUCCGGCAGCACGGCAGCAGCAGGAGGCCCCAUUAGCUAAAGUGGUGCUUCAGGUUAAGAACAGUUUCAGGUUAAGUACAGACCUCCGGAACGAAUUAAGUACUUAACCUGAGGUACCACUGUAUUCAGUUUGAAGGCGCUGAUGGACCAAUGCACCUCUCCCAAUGGUGGCCUGUGUGGGGUUGUGGCACCCAAUCCACGACAGUGGCAACUUUCCAGCCCAGAAGAGAAGAAGAGUUUGGAUUUGAUAUCCUGCCUUUCACUCCCUUUAAGGAGUCUCAAAGCGGCUAACAUUCUCCUUUCCCUUCCUCCCCCACAACAAACACCCUGUGAGGUGAGUGGGGCUGAGAGACUUCAAAGAAGUGUGACCUGCCCAAGGUCACCCAGCAGCUGCAUGUGGAGGAGCAGAGACGCGAACCCGGUUCACCAGAUUACGAGUCUACCGCUCUUAACCACUAAACCACACUGGCUCCCAGGGCCCAGGGCCAGCCCCACUGGGUUCCUAUCAGGCUGUAGGCAGGCCUUAGCCAAACCUAGUCUUACCUGUAAUCAAUAAAGUUGUGGGCUAAUUCAGCCCAAUACCAAUCUCCUGUGUUCAUUUUCCUCAGACUUCCCGCACUGGCCGCAGACAUCAUGCACCUGUGGCGGCAAUUGAAACAUGCAGAAAUGGGCACUCUGUGUAGCCUUAAGAACCACAACACUUUAAGGAAAGAAUGUUGAGAUUUCAUAGAAUCAUAGAAUUGUAGAGUUGGAAGGGACCACGAGUGUCAUCCAGUCCAACCCCCCCCCAACCCUGUGGGAAUCUUUUGCCCAAUGUGGGGCUCGAACCCGUGACCCAUAGAUUAAGAGUCUCAUGCUCUAUCAGCUGAGCUACAAGGCUGAAGGAGAGUCGUCCCCCAAAAAAUAGCAAAAAGUUUUUUUAUUUGUAAACUUUAUUAAUAAUAUUAAAUUCUACAAACGUCAUCAAUGGAAAACACAAAUUCAUGACCCAUCAAUUGAUUUUACAAAUACAGUAUCCAUAAUAACUAAACUGUCACUCAUUCAAAGAGCUCUUCCGUAACUAUAUAAUUCAGUUGUCUUUUAGACUGUCUUAAAGAUAGCUGCUGGUUCUCCAUCAAUUUUAUCCAAUUCAUGACUCCUAAAGAGGAUUUAAAAAAAAAAAAAAUCUCUAAACAAAUCAUUAUAGCAACUCAUUUGGAGAAUUCGCUGAGGAAGGGCUGCAGCUCUGAGAGAUGCCUGUGAAGAUGUGUGUUCUUUGUUGUAUAUUGUGUUGUUGAAAACCACCUUGUGUAUAGUAAUAUAGAAAGGUGGUGUACAAAUUAAAAAUGAAAUGGGGGGGGGAUGAAAUUAAGCUUCUGCUCUCACAAAGGAGAGUUCCCCAACUUCUGAGGCAGUCCGUUCCACAGUCAAACAGUACAGUCUGGGAGAACUUCUUCCUAAUGUUGAAUCUAAACCCCUUUUCUUGUGAUGUUGGUUUGGAUCCUGCCCUCUGGGGCAGCAGAAAUCUAAUUCUCGCCUUCAUCUAUGUGACAGCCAUUCAAAUAUUUAAAGAUUGCUUAUUACAUUGUCUCUUCCCCUUUACAUUGAAGCUCCUAGAUGGCCCACAGUGCUUUUGUUUCACAUAUAAAAACAGAUUUGUAAUUCCCAACCUACUAAGCAUGUGUGUUCAUUAGCUGUGUUCUAAUUAUCAGUGUAGGAGAUCACAUAAUUCUAUCUAUUCCUAUGGUAACAAAUUAAGAUGUGUGUUCCAGCAGCAUCUAAUGAGAUUUGUGCAGACUACUAAUUUGGGGGAAGUUGUGUUUCUUCGCUGAUCAUGGACGAAAGCAAGAUCCCCCUGCAGGCUAGUUGAGUGUUCUCUGCCAAUUAGCUCUUUAAAGUAUAUAUGCAGUACAGCAGAUUCUAUCAAUUAUAUUCUAACACUAUUAAAUAUAAAUCAGAUGCAAAGUAGAAGAAGAAUAUAAAGAACCCCAGUUUCAAAACAACUUUAUAAGGCUUGUUUAACCAUCUGUGAUGCAGGUGACAGCUAGUUAGGAUUUCCAUUACGCUUGUAGGCAUUUUGCAUAAUUGUCAGUGACUGGCUGGAUACUGAGGGGAUAGUGGCUGGAUUCUGAUGAGCGGGCACCAGGGGAGGGGAGUUUGGAGACUGGCUUGGAAGAAGGGAUCAGUGAUCUGGGAGAGCCUGUAGCAGCCAGGAGUUGAGAGUCAGAGGCAAGAGAAGCUGCAGGAUUCUGGAGCGAAGAACAGUUGCAGGAGGAGGGAGAAACAGGCCAGACUGGUGAAGAGUCCAGGCCUUUCAUAGUGGGGUAGGAGAGCUGGGGGGGGGAUUCACAUCAGGCAUUGGUUUCUGCCCCUUUGGUUUCAGAUAGUACAUGGGUAGUAAAGGUAAAGGGACCCCUGACCAUUAGGUCCAGUCGUGACCGACUCUGGGGUUGCAGCGCUCAUCUCACUUUAUUGGCCGAGGGAGCCGGCGUACAUGUGGCCAGCAUGACUAAGCUGCUUCUGGCGAACCAGAGCAGCACACAGAAACGCCGUUUACCUUCCCGCCGGAGCGGUACCUAUUUAUCUACUUGCACUUUGACGUGCUUUCGAACUGCUAGGUUGGCAGGAGCAGGGACCAAGCAACAGGAGCUCACCCCGUUGCGGGGAUUCGAACCGCCAACCUUCUGAUCGGCAAGUCCUAGGCUUUGUGGUUUAACCCACAGCGCCACAGUGGGUAGUAGUAGAGUCUAAAAAGCCUGGGACACAAAUUUUCUUUCUUUUUUUAUAUAUAAAUUUAUUUGGUUUUCCCAAUUAAAAUUUGACAGUCCCAUAUCCAACAUACAUAGAAACAAGAUUCCAAAGGCUCUCCUGGACUUCCUCCCUCCCCUUUUUUAAAUCAUUUUCUCCUGCAUCUUUUAUAAUUAUCCAAAUCUUUCACCUCUCCAUUGUGUCCAAAAUUCACCAUUAAACUAUAAGUGUUAUUCCAAUCCUACUAACGAGUUUAACUGGUUUUUAAGAUAAAUUAUAAAUUUCCCUCAUUUCUUAUUAAAAUUUUGGUCUUCCUGAUUUCUGAUCCUUCCGAUCAUUUUAGCCAUUUUGGCAUAAUCCAUCAACUUGAUCUGCCAUUCUUCUCUGGUAGGGACUUUUAUCUUCUUUCCAUCUCUGGGCCAAUAACAUCUGCGCAGCCAUGGUCACCUACAUAAAUAGUCUUUUUGCUCCCUUGGGAUUUCGGCUCCCAAGGCUCACAGAUUUUCACAGCCCUCUAGCGCCUAUGGUGACUCAUUUACCAGAUUUAAUGUGUUUAGCGAUAACUCUGUGUAUACUGACCAAACUAAGCCUCCUGCUCUACAUUUUGCUCUAGAUGUGCAAUAUAUUGGCAUUGUUUUCAGCUCUCCUACCGCACUACCAUGCCUCCUCUUUCUGCGGCUGCCUCUGCUGCUCCACUGUCUCCCAGGACCAGGAGAGGAUUGGAGUGGGGGGAGCAGAAGCAGGUGACACACAGGUGGAGUUUUUGUGUGCAGCUCAGGUAGGGGAGAUACAUAAGCCAAGGUUGGGGGCGGGGUGUCAGGAACUGGGCAGAGGACGAAUGAUGGGGAUUCGCUCCCCAGCCUGACCAUUCCAGGGAGGAGGAAAAGGAAGACAGUAUAGAUUUACCACAGGGGUUGGAGGGAUGUCACAGCUCAGAGGCAGAUGAGGGGGAAGUUGGGAACUAAUUGGAGAGGAUGAGGAGGAAGAAGGGGCAACAGCUGACGGACACAGACCCCCCCCCCCAGAACCCGGCGAGCCUUGAAAGUAGGAGAGCAAAGAGCUCAAAGACAGAGGGCACAUAGCAGUACCCAUAGAAGUAACGAAGGAGGAAGUAGGAGAGACCAGGGUGUGGAGAUUCACUCUGGACAAUGCCCUUAUCCAGGAGGCUGGGUUCUAUAGCCUCUCUCUCUCUGUAAAUACUGAAUAAAAAGUGGAUGGUAAGAACAUUCCUUGUUUUUGUAUGUUCCUGGGCAACCGGCCGUGGGAGUUGCUGGCAGCAGCCUGACUCGGGGCCUCUCUGUUGCGGAAACUGCAUCAUCGGGUACACACCUAGGCGUAGCUGAAAAGUAGGACUGAUGGACAUGCCUUUUCCUAACUUGUAAGUGUACUUUUGACUUAAUUCCUCACUCUGGACAUUCCGUGCCUGACAGCAAUGUUGCUGUGGGCAUGUCAAGUUGUUGUCAACGAGCCAGGUCAACCACAGGGCAGGCACACACAUGGGAGGCACAGGUUGCAAUUAGGUCUUUAUCAACAGAAAAUACCAUCACAGUAGAGUCCUCCGGUUUGUAUUAAUCCGGCUGAGACCUUGCCGAAACUUACCACUAGCUCUUCCCUCCCCUUCUAACCUUUUAAUCUGGAUCCCUCCCAAGCAGAUGAGCACUGCGUCAGCAGGACUGGGGCUGUCUGCACUCACAUUGUGACUCUCAGACUUUAACUCUGUCCUGGAGGGCCUCCUUCUUCUGAUGCCCCCCCCUUGAUUGCUCAACCCCCUUGCUUGUAGCACCUCCCAGCUUGUCCCUUCUCCAGACUGCUUCCCAGUGUCCCACCACCAGGAUCUGGGAUCGAAGUCUUCUUCAUCUGAGCCCUCCGGGGGGGGGGCUCUUGCGCAGGGGCCUCCCACCACUCUUCCUCAUCCAGCCAGUCCCUGAAAUGGCACCUAGUGGGCAGUGCCUGCAUGGAUAGCACUAAGCAAAACAGGGCAGCUGCUGGAGACCGCAGGUGAUCACACAGCACAAAGAGUCUUUCCCCAGAUCCAGUACAAAGGCAGCCUCCUAUCUCCUCUUCUGAUGACUGUGAGACCAGUGGAGAAGGGUGAACUAAGAGCUACUGCUAAGCGACAGAAGAGCAAGUUUCUUGCCUCUGGAUUCAGGCAUCUUCCUUGAGGACCUCUGGGACAAACAGCUGAAUUGCCUAUCUCUCUCUGGGGCAAGGAACUACAAAAAUUGGGAGCCGGGCCAGCGAAUCACAAGUAAUUAAGGACAACAGCUCCCCUUCUCCUAUCGUGUAAUGGACAUGCUUUAUAAUACCAGAGGAAAACUGGGGGGGGGGGGAAUUGCACCAGGGCCUUUUAUUCCAAUCCAUACUUCAAGCAACUGCUCAAGACCUCAGAACAAUAUAUAAACAUUGAUGUACUUUACCAAAUAUGUUAUUUAUCUCUUUUUUAAAAAAAAAACCCCAAAACACCACAGUUUCAUCUCCUGCCAUUCCCAUUCCUCUGGUCCAUGUCCUUUGUUUACUUGGCUAUCAGCAGACAGCCUUAUUGCUUAUCAGCAACACUUUAAUGAAAGAUAAAUAACAGGCAAACACUCAUCAAGUUAUUUCCUGUAUGAUAUAUAUAGGGAAAGACAUGGUGUGUGUGGGUGGGUGUGUGCGUGUGGGUGUGGGUGUGGGUGAAAUGCAACUAAAUCCCAAAUCUUCUAAGCAAUUAGGAGCGCUCAUUAACUCAAAGUGCACGAAUGAUCCCCUUGACCUCGACGGAUUACUACUCGUGUGUCCUCAAUUCAAGCGUGAUCAUGCUGGUAAAAUCAGAGUUUUGUGUUUGUGCCUUGUCAAAAUCUCUUUGGUGUUAUCUAAUGAACACUGGGUUGUUUUGCAGCCUGCACUGAGGAGCACAGGCUUGAAACUAUGGGAAUCUUCCCAUGGACCUAAUAAGUCUGUAAUCAGGCCGGCUGUGGUGAGAGAGCUAUCCUACACCUAGGAGCUGAGCAGCUCAAUAUGAGAUCAGUUGAGAUACCCCCAGAGACUUUAACUCUAAUCCUCGUGGACGGCUGGCAUUGAGUAAUGAUGACUUAAAUGAUCGUGCGGGAGAAUCCAGCAUGAGUGCAGCAUCAACAAAACCAGACUUCACCCUUUACUGCCAAUUCUCACAACUUUUUUAAACUCCUUCAUUCUUUUUGGGAGAUUCAGGACAAAUAAAAGAAAGUACUUUUUCAUGUAAGGUAAAGGUAAAGGGACCCCUGACCGUUAGGUCCAGUCGUGGCCGACUCUGGGGUUGCGGCGCUCAUCUCGCUUGACUGGCCGAGGGAGCCGGCGUACAGCUUCCAGGUCAUGUGACCAGCAUGACUAAGCCGCUUCUGGCGAACCAGAGCAGCGCACGGAAACGCCGUUUACCUUCCCGCCGGAGUGGUACCUAUUUAUCUACUUGCACUUUGAUGUGCUUUCGAACUAAUAGGUUUGCAGGAGCAGGGACUGAGCAACGGGAGCUCACCCCGUCGCAGGGAUUCAAACCGCCGACCUUCUGAUCGGCAAGCCCUAGGCUCUGUGGUUUAACCCUCAGCGCCAUCCAUGUACCUUCUUCUUCAUGUAGCACAUAGUUAAACUCUGAAACUCACCCCCACAGAGGUAGUGCUGACCACCAAAUUAGGUGGCUUUAAAAGAUGAUUAGACAAAUUCAAGGCUAUCAAUGGCUACUAGCCACGAUGGCUAGGCUCUGUCUCCAGCUGCAAUGCUUCUGAAUACCAGUUGCUGGAAACCACAGGAGGAGGGAGGGUCCUUGUACACAGGUCCUGUGUUAUGAAAGGCUUGGGCAAAGAGGAAUGAUGGGAGGAACCAGUUAGGGAACAACCAAGGGAUUAAGGUCCGGAGCCCGUGGAUUUGUGGUGGGACAAAAAUAAGUGGUCAGACAACAAUGAGAGAGAAGACUGGGAAGAGGGGGUGUUGGAAGCUGAAGAGUUAACAGGAUUUCGUGAGCUGGGAGAGUCUGUGACAGAAUCAGAGACAGAAACUGAAGCACGAGGGUGGAAGGAGAAAGGCCGAGAGGCAGAGAUUAUUUAGCCUGGUGAAGAGUCCUGAGUGCCUCCCGCUCCUGUUGCAACAAGCUCCCCUCCCUCCUUGUCUCCCAGAACCAGAAGAGACAUGAAAAGGGCGGAGGAGAGAUGGGUGACAUGCAGACACAGUCUCUGAUUGCUUGGGGGGAACCCUGGAGAGGAGGGGAUAUAGGCAGUUGUGGGGAGGCAGGAAACUUCAGUCUCAGCAACUGUUUCACGGGGACAAGAACUACCGGAGAUGUACUGCUGUGCUCAUUAGGCCUGGCACUCCUGUUAUUGUUUUUGCUAAUAAAGAGUUAACUCCAGUUUGCACAUUGUGAUUUACUGCUGGCUCGCUCUUGACAUCCUGCUUGUAGGCUUCCUGCAGGCAUCUGGGGGCCCACUGCAGGAACAGGAUGGGUCAUUGGCCUGAACCAGCAGGCUCUUCUUUUGUCUCCUUGAUGCAUGACUGUUAUUAACCCAUUCAGUUAGGCUAGAAUUCCCAUUUCUAAGGAGAAACACUGAAACUACCCAAUAGUUCCAUAGCUGCAAUGGACACCUGCGCCAAUCCACCUGGGCAAGGAAGGGCCAGGGCUCAGUCUAAAAGUGAUACAGAAAUGCUACUCAUGAUUCAAGAUGAAUGGUGAUUUUUGCUGCAGAUUGAUAUAUGAGAAAAUGCAGUUACAUUUUUAAAAAAUGCCAAAAGAAAUGCUAAACAGAAUUUUAAACAGUUAUUGUCCGUAAGCGUUUGCGUUUUCACAAAGCAACAGUAAGGUAAGAACAACAGGCGCAGAACCUGGAAUUGGUGCUUCUAUUUUUAGCUGGUAGGACUUCAAGGUGACUUUAUUUUCCAGGGCCGUUGAUAGCAGAUCUGAAUCUGAAGCAUCUCGGACGCAGAAGAAUGUCUUCUACCUCAUUCUAUAGCUUGAAAUAUGGCUCAGGAACCAUCCAGUUGGUCCGAGAAUAGCCAAUGAAAACACUGUUAAACCGAUGACGGUUUCCUAAAUCAAGGGAAAGAAGGGUCAUGCAAGGCAAAACAGAGACGCAAGCGAGGCUGCCUGAGGGGGGGGGGAGCUUUUUGCCUUACAGAUACAGCCAACGCUAUUGAACUUUUAAAGCUGUAAUCUCAGUAAUGUGAUAGAUGCAAAGAACCAACCACAGUGAAAGUUGAUUAUCCUACAAAUCCAGUCACCAGCUGAAGUACUUCAUGUCAACUGAAAAGCAAAGUGUGAUUUGUCAUUUUAGGUCACUAUGGGUUAAAAAUGGGGGUGGGGGAUUACUUUCAAAGCUGCACUACAGCUUAGUGGCUUCGCUUUCCUUUCUAGCUUUUUGCACAUUUUGAGGGUGCGCUGCCACAGCUAAGCAGAAACACAACCUUUUUGCACGAGAUCUUUCACUGCUCCAGAGUUCCAUAUGCAUGCAGAUGGAUACAUGGAAACCGAAGCAGGUUUCCUUGCCAUUGCCAAAACAAAAGAAAAUGCAUUGCUUUUUUAAAAAAAGUGUGUGUAUUUGCAAAACAGUUGCACAUGCUAAGUUAAAUUUACAUACUCAGUUUGAGAAAUAAUUGCUAUCAUUUAAGAAGAGAUACAAGGCAUCUACUCAAGGAAGACUGUGACCACAUGUGUGUCUGUUCAGUCUGCUGUUCAGGAGCUAGCUCAGUGUUUUUGUUGGACUACAACUCCCAUCAUCCCUGACCACUGGUCCUGCUAGCUAGGGAUGAUGGGAGUUGUAGUCCAACAACCGCUGGGGAACCAAGUUUGAAAAACACUGUGCUCACUGUAGAUGGGAAGCUUCAGGACCCAAUAACUCAUCUUAGGUUGUUCUGGGUGUGAUUCAAUUCAUGAGUCCUGAUAGUGGAAGCCCCUGCAAGGACUUAGGCUAGCGCAAUGGGGCUUCCCCCCUUCUGUCCCUGCACCCACUUUCCCAAAGUGCUGUGUGUCAUGAGAUCCCUCAGAACAGUGCACAGGGGAAGAAGAGGGAGGAUUGUUCCAUCUGACAGACUGAAAAUCACAAGUUGCGUCAAAAUGCGGAGAACUGAAUUUAAGAUUGAAAAAAUUAGAAACGGAGAGAAAUGAAAUAGACAAAUCCUUCCAUCCCUAGUCUGGAGCCCCUCAAUUAACUUAAGGGAGCUCAUGGAAGGAAUUCUUUCCUCCAGGAGCUCUUAGUCCUAUUCCAGAGUGGUCAGGCAUCUCCCCAGUGUCUUUGGAGAGAGGCUUUCUGGGCAUCAGAAAGGGGAGCUAGGAACAAGAAAUGCUCCUUCAUUAAGUUGUCUCAGGGAUCCACACUCAUACAGUUGUUCUGAUCAAGAGUAGGUUUUCAAGAGAGACAGCUUGCCUUGCCUGAUAAAUAGAUCAGGAUAGCUCUCAGGUGACCUGCGUAUUCAGCAUUCAUCCUGAUUUGCUUGCACAAAAUCAGCAAGCAGGUCAGACAGCAUUGGCUAUUUAUUGACUAUUUAAUAUGAUUUGUUUUCAGGGCGGUUAGACAAUGUUGCCUCGAGCAAGAGUUACGCC